rnacentral:rRNA from 1 species
UGAGUAACCUGCCCUUAGCUCUGGGAUAAGCCUGGGAAACUGGGUCUAAUACCGGAUAUGACUCCUCAUCGCAUGGUGGGGGGUGGAAAGCUUUAUUGUGGUUUUGGAUGGACUCGCGGCCUAUCAGCUUGUUGGUGAGGUAAUGGCUCACCAAGGCGACGACGGGUAGCCGGCCUGAGAGGGUGACCGGCCACACGUGGGACUGAGACACGGCCAGACUCCUACGGGAGCAG